CGAUAUAUAAUAGACAGGUAGAGCUUAGGCAAUGGGGAGAUACGGCUAAAAAACGGCCCAAAAAGCGUCCCAGUUUGCGGAGUUGCCAGAUCGCGAAAUCCUAAUGUCUCGCUUCUCAGCGGAGGGCGAUGCUCUGCAGGGCCUUAUGGGACUGAAACGGUUUUUGUUGGAUAUCAAAUCCACAAAAGGCGUGUUAACUUGUAGCCCCUCAAAAAAAUGAUCUUUCUGCCAAUGCGGUUCUUUCAAGGCAGUAAGAUGAUUUUUCCGACAUGUCACAUUUACGUUAUGAUUUUUCAAAAAAAUUACUUUGGGGGGAACCAAUAGCGAUUAGCCUGCCCUCACGUGACGUCUGUGUUACACGACUCGUUGAGUUGGGCAAGGUUGGGCAGUCGUGUGUGUUAAGAGCGUCUCAAAAGUUGGCUAAACAGCAGUUCGACCUUUUUUAGAGUUUAUUUUGAUGUACAAUUAAGACUAGCAACGUGGCAGCCUUGAGUUUGAGCAGACUACGAAGUCUCGGCUGUGAGCUGUCAGAAAAAGUGUCGAGUCCAGAUUUGUAAUGCGAUCAAAUUCGGACUUUUCUCAUAUAUUUUGGAUUUGGUUUACAUGACACCCAAUAUAAUUGGAAAUGACCAAAACUUGUUUUGUUUGGGUUGCAAGUCCGGUUAUAAAACUGACCAAACAAAAAUUUCUCUUUUUAAAGCCCCUUCUAAUAAAAUUCAAUUAAAAAAGUGGCUAGAUGUCAGUAGGAAGAAACCUCCAAAGAUUAAAGGUGUGGAUACUUAAAUCUGGUGCCUUACCUAAAACACCAAAAGCUCUUGAGAAAAUUGAUACCCACCCAGAAGUUCUUUGUAAUACCCGAAAAAGAAAGCAAAGAAUUCCAAAUGCUGCUGAAGCUGGUUUUGGUCUGCAUUUAACAAUUCCAACUAUCGAAGACACAGUACCAGAAGAAAGUCAUUUCAUAUUGUCAUUGUCAUUUGUCAUAGUUCUGACAAACAUUAGGGCCUGAAGGUCGGACAUCCUAGGGGUUCAUAAGCAACAAGGAUUUCUUUUUCUCCCAUGAGAUUCACGUAUAAUAUUAUAUCUCCCGGGUGUGUUAAAAAAAUGUGUAGGUGUAUAAAUUCAUUUAGCCCAAACACAACAUGAGUAAAUGGGUAUUCAUGUUACAUGAAUUAUUAAUCAUAUUUUAGUAUUGUUUAUCAUUCUCGAAAUCCAAUUAGUUAAUAAUGAACAUUUUUGAUUUUCUGGAA